rnacentral:rRNA from 1 species
CCUACGGGAGGCUGCAGUGGGGAAUAUUGGACAAUGGGGGGAACCCUGAUCCAGCCAUGCCGCGUGUGUGAAGAAGGCCCUCGGGUUGUAAAGCACUUUCAGUGAGGAAGAACGCCUGGUGGUUAAUACCCAUCAGGAAAGACAUCACUCACAGAAGAAGCACCGGCUAACUCCGUGCCAGCAGCCGCGGUAAUACGGAGGGUGCGAGCGUUAAUCGGAAUUACUGGGCGUAAAGCGCGCGUAGGUGGCUUGAUAAGCCGGUUGUGAAAGCCCCGGGCUCAACCUGGGAACGACAUCCGGAACUGUCAAGCUAGAGUGCAGGAGAGGAAGGUAGAAUUCCCGGUGUAGCGGUGAAAUGCGUAGAGAUCGGGAGGAAUACCAGUGGCGAAGGCGGCCUUCUGGACUGACACUGACACUGAGGUGCGAAAGCGUGGGUAGCAAACAGGAUUAGAUACCCUGGUAGUC